AAGCAGGAUGGAAGCCCAGUGAGCUGAGCAUGGAACCAGGCUGAGACCCAGCCCAGCACACGGCGGGGCCUCAAGCGUCCAGCUUCUGCCCUCCAGACCCUUCCAGGGCCUGGUUCAUCGAGGUAGGUGGGGGGCACCCCAGCUUCUAAGCAAGCAUCCCCACCCUCCCCACACCCAGCUCCUCCUGCACAGACGCCCUCCCCUGGUCCAGAGCCCAGUUCCCCUUCAGCGAUAAUGUCAUAGGAGCACGCCCCUGCUGCUGUGUCUGCCGUUCAGCCUUGAGGCUCACAGCUGUCCUGUGUGUUGGUGGCAGAGCUUGCGGGUCCUGCAAGACCCCCUCCUUUGCUUCUAUGCAGGGAGGGGGUGGCCAGGGUAAGGAUGGCCUGUGGAAGCCCAGACCCAGGGCCUACUCCGGUGCCCACCUCCGAACUGCACUUUCCUAGCACACGGGCACUCUGUCUGGGCCGUAGGGAGCUCAUGCCUGGCAGAAAAAUAGAUGCCUGGCCCCGGGGGCAUCGCUCCCAUGUGCACAACUUCAUCUGAUGCAUGGAAACCAGCCCCAAGUCUCAGGCAAGGAAGGUUGGUUGGCCUCUCCCAGUCCUCCGGGGUUUCAACCUCAGGGCCUUUGCACUGCUAUCUCCUAUGCUGAUCUCUGGUCCCUUUGCUAUGUGCCUCAGUGACUCCUCGGUGUUCUUCCUAUCUCAGCCUGAUGUCACCUCCUUCAGUCCUUCCCCCACCCACCCCCACAGCCCCCCUCACAGAAUCAGUGACCUACCAGAAGGCCCUUAGAGCAACGUGUCCAAUGUAUUCGGGCAUUUGCUGGUUUUUGGCCCAUCCUCUCUGCUGCCGUAACUUCCCUGAGAGCAGGAGCAAGGCCUCCCUUGUCACCGGGCCCGGCGUGCAUCUUGUACAAGCAGGUACUCAGUGAGCAGACAGGACCUCCUGGGAACAGUGCUGAGGGCUUCCAGACCACAGGUCUCUGGCCCUAGUGGGGCCAAAGGCUGUCUCCAGACUCCACCAUCUGGAGGGGACCAGCCGGGUCAGCCAAGGGACUGAGCUGGGCUAGAGUCUGGAAAGGACAAACCGGGUCGCAGCGUGUGGGGCAGAGCCAAGCUGGAAGGCCCAAGAGUGCAUGGGGGAGGGGCCGGGCGUGGGGGCCAGAGGCCGGGGCGUGGGGCCCCACGGCACACAAACAUCUGGACUGGGAUCCAGGGUCAGUACUGUUUGCAGAUCCUCCGCUUUCCUGGGCAGCUGCAGCCCCGCGGGUGUGGGGGCAAGUCUAGGGCUUGAGAUCCGCACCCCACCCCUUACUGACCACGUGCCUGAACCUCCGUGACCCCAGUACCACCGUGGCUCCCUGAGGAGCUCCGCACAGGCCCGAGAGCAGACCGCCCCGCUGCUCCCUCUCCAUCCGACUCCCGCUGGGGCACGGACGUGUAAGGGUUCACCUGUCCAACGCUGUGUUUUUGAAAAGAGAACAAAUCGCGAGCAUCUCAUAAAUAAUGGUAGUUGGCAUUUACUAAUGAAGGUUCAAAAUAAGGAUGUGACUUUGAAAUGAUUUCUAGACAUCGGUUCUUUGUCUCACGGGAGCAUGCAGGAGAGUAUUCCCGGGGAGGAAUGGCCCCUCGCUCUCCCAGAGGGCGGCAGGUGGUGGGAGUCACCUUCUGGGCCUGAAUGUCAGUCCCCUUUGCUCAGUCUCCCCCAGCCCGGGGCCUGGAGACUGGGGGGAGUGCUGGGGGCUCCUAGGGACCCUUCUCCGGCACAAUGCUAGAGGGGGCUGGGACACCAGGCCAGUCCGGGAAGCUCUUCCCCCCUUGCCCAGAGGUGUGGACCGAGAAGCACACAGACCAGAAGGUAAAGGAAGGAGCUCACAGUGACUUAGUUCUGGGGUUUAUACGUAGAAAUGUAACAUUUGCAUAAAAAUCGGCUUGUUUUGUUGGGUUCGGACACCUGGGUCACAGAGGUUCCGCUGGUGGCAGCCAGCCUCCCAGGGGGACCUCCAGUGACCCUGCUUCCUGGGACUCACACCCUUAAGUGUCCUCCCAUCAGGGGCAGGCUGAGCCUGGGAUCCACGGCUGGGGUGGAAAUGAGUGACUUCUGGCGCCCAGCCUCCAUAGGCACGUGGCUUCCAUCUUGCCCCCCAGAUCAUGGCUCUGGGGGAAGGCAGCACCGUGGUUAGGAUGCUCAGGCGUGGGGACGGAGAAGCCCACACGCUGAGGACAGCCACAGGAGGGGGACAGCCGGGCCAAGGGCACGUCCACCUGCUCAAGCCUUCAGAGAGGAUGGCCCACGGCUGCCUUGACUGCAGCAGUGAGAGAGACCUGGGGCCGGAAGCAGCCAGCCGGCUCAGUAGGAGGACAGGAGUGUCCACUGUCGGGGACUGUCACCCAGUGGUAGCCAGCUAGCAUGUGCAUGUUUGAUACGCCUUUUCCUUUCAGGCUCCCCUCGUUCUGAGAAAGCCAACCCCGAGCAGUGCUCCGGCGGGGAGGCCCGCCACCUGCCCCUGCUCCCAACGGGAAGCUGCCGCCCUCCUUCCUUCUGAUUUCAAGUGGAUCAGCACGGUGGCUCCGAGCCCAGGAACCGGGAGUAGCGUUCAGGGGUGGCCACGCUGCAGGGCCCAUGCGGUCUGAUCUCAGGGAGCAGGGUGAGAGGAGGAACUGAGGGACAGGAUACCCCAUUGGCUACUGCUGUGGGCACCUGGGUUCCGUCCUACGGCAGCUCCCGGGGAGCCUGUGAAGGAACCCCAGAACUGUCUGUAGGGCUGCAUUUAUCCACUGGCUUCUCCCCUGGCCCAGUGGUUGGGGUGGCCACACGGGCAUGACUGCUUGGGUGUGGAGCUGCCCCCAAGGGUGUCCCACCCGGGGAGAACUGUGGGGAGGACGGAGGUGGGAUAUAGCCCAGGCCCAGGAAAGUGGCCAUCAGGUCACCAUCAGGUCACUCCAGAGUGGCUGGCACUGGGUGGGGCAGAGGAGAUGUAAUUUGGCAUCAGGACUGGUUCAAUCCAGGGGUCUGCUGGCCCUGCCCCCACCCUGCUGUGGAACAGGUCCUGGCAAAUGACCCGAAGACACAGAUUUGCUCAUUCUCCUUGCAGGAGCUCUCCUCAACGCGACUCUGCUAAAAAAAUGUGUUAAAUAUUUCAUACGGUAAAGAAAACACGAGGGGAACAUUGUCCAACGAAUUCUCUCAUGGUGUAGAUUAGUUAAGUGAUUCCAAAUGCCUGCUGUGGGGAAGGCCCCUAAGUUUCCACUUUGAAUCAACUCUGACCUCUUGGUAGUGGUGGCCUGAGGGUUGGGUUAAGGCCUCUGCGGCCGUGUGCAGGCUUCCCGGGCGAAGUGCUGGGUCCAUCAUAAAGACAAGCACAGACAAGGGCGCGGCGCCCCCACAGCCAUUUGCACACCGUGGCAGGCUGGCUCUGGGUCCCCAAGGGUAUCCGGGUCCUUGUCCCUGAAACUCGUGCAUGUUACCUGGUCUACAAAAGAGACGUAGCCUGUGUAAUUCAACUAAGGACCUUGAAAUGGAGGGUAAAUCUGCGACAUCUGGACGGGCCGCUAAGCCAUCGUGUGUGUCCUGAGGGGGAAGCGAGGUGGGAGCAGACGUGGGCAGAGGCAAGGCUCACACCCGAGGAGGCGGGGAGGCGGCUCCGGACGCCCGAAGAGGCAGGGAAUGGGCCCUCCCCAGAGUCUCUGGAGCGGUCACCCUGCCAACACCUUAGAUCUGGUCACGGCACCUGUGUGCAGGCUUGGGGCCCCUGGAACGGCGAGAGAACGACCACGGGCUGUUUCAGGCCACGGAGACGGCCGUAGCUCGUUACAAGGGCCCGGGGAGGAGCACGAGCGCCGUCCCUGCUUCCCCCCCCCCAGAAGGACCCGCCCCCCACCCCACCCACAUUUACUGAGCAUUCCCCCCGCCAUCGGCCCAGCCCGUCGGCUCCCACCGCCGCCGGACGCACGCGAGGCUCGCACCUGGCAGGGGAGGCCGGCAGGCGCAGGGUGCAGAUGUCGGCGGGGGGUGGGGGUGUCCUUGGCCACCCAGAAGGGCCUUCGGUGUGUGGAGCCUGCGCUGACAUUCGUCGCCGGACCGCGCAGCGCCGAGCAGUAGCACGUGGCCGGCGACACAUGCGACGUGUCCCUCUGUCCACAGCGGGAGGUGGGGUCACCCGGGGGCCCUCGGGUGGCAUCUGUUUCCGGGACGCCGUCUCCCUCGGAGGCUCUCUCAGCUCUGCUCCCACACCCGUCCACAGUCCCCUUGCCCAAGCCCUUCCCGAAAAUUGUGUCCCGCAGGGACGGUGAUGGUGCCAUCUGCAGAGGAGACACGGUCGGUGGUGGCCCCCGUCCAGUCCCUGCAGGGCUCCCGGGCAGGAUGGUGAGGCGGGGCCCUCAGGGUGGUGGGGCUCACAGGCCACCCCACACUCCUGGGCGGAGCAGCCAUGGCCCAUCGGCCCAUCGUACAGGUGAGGCUCCUCAGCACAGAGAGGGCGAGCGACCUCCUCGAGGGCACACAGCAGGAAAGCGACAGAGCUGGAAACGGAACUGCCCUGCCCAGGGCCGUGUCUCCUUUCCUGGUAACCCCUGAGUACGUGCCCUGUCGCCCUGCGGCUGCCUGCCUGGACCCCACCAGCUGCACGUGUGACCACACCUCAGCAACGGGGCAGAGCACAGUCCCGUUACAGCUCACGGUGUCUGGUCCUAACUGCUCAGGGUUCAGAAACCAUAUGGUCCUGGGUCACAGCAGGCCUCGGCCCAGCAAGGAGACCUCCUCACUGCAGCUUCUGGACUCUGCUCUCCUUGUCCCUAUCCAUCCCUCCAGGCUAGUGACCUCCCUGGGGUCACAAUGUAUGGGGGAGGGGCCCCCUCUUCCCAGCUAUGGCUUAGAAUACACAGCACCGUUUUUUAUUCUUUGCUUCGAACUCCCUGCCUUCUUUGCAGAGUUUUGUUGUUUUUUUUUUAACCUCGAAAAGAAAAUUGAUCCGGCGUUCUGCAAACCAUCCAUCGGACUUCCUGCGUGAACUUGGAAUUGGGAUAUGGCAGAGAGCAGCGUUCAGGAUGUUCAAUUUUCACCAAACCCAGCAACGCACUUACCGUCUCCUUCUCAGACAAGAAAGCAGCUUCCAGAAACCCUAGGUCCCUUGCCCAGGGCCACACAGGUGGUAAGUUACUUCAUGUGAUCUCUUGCUGUGUAACAAGACAGUGCUAAACUUAGUGGCUUAAGACCUUUCGCAAUCAUGUUAUUUUGUUCCCAAGCCUGCAUUUUGGCAGGACUCCGCGGGGAAGGCUGGUCUGUGCUCCACAGUGUCCGCCUGGGCAGCUGGAUGGGGGCCUGCCUCUCGGACAGCGCGCUCCCCACGGCCAAGUCGGCUCUGGCUCAGCCUGGAGCCUAUCUCAUGGGCUUCCUCAUGGUAGGGAAGCCUGGUUCCUAGAGCAAGUGCUCCAGGAGACGAGAACCCACCUGUCCCUAAAAACCCAGGCCCAGAAAUAAGCAUGACGUCACUUCCAUUAGUCAAGCAGUUGUGGGGCCUGACUCAAGGAUCGGAUAUAGAGAACUCAUGGCCAUCUUUAAGCUACUAGAGUGACCAAGCCGGGAUUCGAACCUAAACUUCCUGAUGCCUUCAAGCCCUGCAGUGCAGAGACACUAGAGAGGCCAGCAAGCUCGCAUUGGUAGGACCAUGCCUGGGAGAGGCCUGUCUGGCUGGCUGGACCACCUCACGAUUAUCUGAGCUAGAAGAAGCUAGAUUUUAAGACUGGUUAUCUCCAAGCUCGGGCCAGGGCAGGGGUCUGCUGGGUCCAGAGGUCCGGUCCUUCCUUCCGGAGCCACUACUCCCGGCUCCAUCCACGUGGCUCCCAGGGACCUGUCAUCCUUUUGCACAACCCUGGCCCUGGCCACAGCAGAGCCCAUCUGGGCUGGGCAUCUGCCCCAUGUGGGGCCUGUGGCUUCCUUCUGUGGGACUUCAUACUGCCCUGGGAGUUGAAGAGGCCACAUUUACUGCCAUGUGGAGAACAGGCGCAGGAGAGAGGGAGGGGCAAGCCAGGGGGCCAAGAGGAGUAGGCAGGACAGACAGACGGACAGGGUCCUGAUGGCUUUCCACGCCCUGACUUCAGUUUCAGGGGGCAGGUGCAUGGCCAGCCAUGGAGGGGGCUCUCCUGGAGCUUCCUGAGAAACCAUCCUUUGCAGAAUUCCAUCUCUGGUCACCAAGAGGCCUCACCGAGCCUCCAGAACCUGUGACAGCCUCCUGCCCGGCCCCCUAGUCCUUGCCCAGCCACGGCCGCUGGGAAGGUGCCACGCACAGACCUGACCUCGAAGCUGGGGCCGCGUCCACCAGGCACGGGGCACGGUGGUCAGAGCGUGGGUGUUACCGCACCACCUGGAUUGUCGUCCCAGCUCUGCACGGACCUGCUGUGUGACCUCAGCAAGCUCCUAAACCUCUCUGUGGCUGGCUUUCCUCAUGUGUGACACGGGCUGCAGGAAGGAUCACGUGAGUUAAACGUGCCUGGGCCUGGAGGUCUUUACCAGCAGAGCCCUGUAGCCUCCCUAACCCCACGGCCAGGCUUCCAUCACCUGCGGCCCUGGGACAUGCCCAUGGACAGUGACCUCCGUGGGAGGCAGAAACCCGUGCCACCAAGCGCUAUCCCCAGGGCCCAUCCCCAGGCCGGCCUGGUGCACAGUGUCCCAGCCCAGGCCACCCACUGUGUCCUGGAGCUCUGCGGGGGGCCUUUCUGCAGAGGGCAAGGUGGACAGACAGACCUUCCCUCUGGCCUCCCGACCGUGGACGCAGUAGCCAGUACCGGAGGUUUCAAGCCGCUCUGGAGACCCCUGCUGGCCAGUGCUGGUUACUGCGGGCAGCCGAGUCGCCCUCCUGCCCAGCAAGGGGCUGCCCAGCCCUGCAGGCACGGUUACCCCCACUUAGUGCCACCGGGUCACUCAGCUGGAAAGUAGCAGUGUCGGGAUCUGGAACGAGGACCAUCUCCUGAGCCCAUGGGCUUCCAGCCCAGAGCAGUCCUAUUCCCCUAACCUGGGAGGCCAACCCCACCUGAACGCUCCCGAGCCCGACGUCCACCCUUGGAUAAUGCCCUCGCGCCACGGGCUUCGCGGGGCAUAAAGUCAAGCCGAGCCUGGGCCGGAGCUACUGGGGAGUAGGGGGCCCAGCCGGAGAUAAAUGGGGUGCUGUCCUGCCCCUGGGGCCACAUUCUGGUCAACAAGUCAGAGCAGAGUCACGUAAUAAAUGUUUGUUGAACGAAUACAUGACUGAACAAACGUACUCAUGACUGCCACAGAGCUGCGAAUCCCGGGCCGCCUGGCAAACUCUUACUCAUCCUUCAGAACCCUGUCCAGGGACACCUCUUCCAGGAAGGAAGCAUCUUCCCUUUGAGGAGGUCUCCUCUCACACUGACUUUAGGGCAGAA